rnacentral:lncRNA from 1 species
GUGACUUUGGCCUUGGGUAGAAAGUAUGUGCUUCAGGCAGGCAGCUUCUUGACAUCACAUUUAGCAUGAAGCCAGGAAUGCUGGCACGUCUGGGAUAGGACCAGAAUGCACUUGAGACAUUUUAAAAGUCAUCUACUCAUUGUUUAAAAUGACAAAAACUUGCUGCUCAUAAAAUGCUCUAAGGAAUGCCUAAGGUUGGAGAAGAAUCCACAAGAUUUAGAGAGAGCAGAGAAGGCACUUAAGAUAGAUUUGGAAAUUGGGACCUGAAGACAGCAAAGGUUCUCUGCCGCCAUGUGGAAAGGAAGAAAGUUAUCUUUGCCCAGUUCAAGGAAAAAAAUGUGUGAAAGCAACAGCGGAGUGUGUCAGACUGCCUACAAAUAUCAGCCAUAUUCAAGCUUUUUUCUAUAUAUAUAG